ACGGAAGGCAGCAGUAGGGAAUCUUCGGCAAUGGGGGCAACCCUGACCGAGCAACGCCGCGUGAGUGAAGAAGGUUUUCGGAUCGUAAAGCUCAGUUGUAAGAGAAGAACGUGUGUGAGAGUGGAAAGUUCACACAGUGACGGUAACUUACCAGAAAGGGACGGCUAACUACGUGCCAGCAGCCGCGGUAAUACGUUGGUCCCGAGCGUUGUCCGGAUUUAUUGGGCGUAAAGCGAGCGCAGGCGGUUUAAUAAGUCUGAGGUUAAAGGCAGUGGCUUAACCAUUGUUCGCUUUGGAAACUGUUAGACUUGAGUGCAGAAGGGGAGAGUGGAAUUCCAUGUGUAGCGGUGAAAUGCGUAGAUAUAUGGAGGAACACCGGUGGCGAAAGCGGCUCUCUGGUCUGUAACUGACGCUGAGGCUCGAAAGCGUGGGGAGCAAACAGGAUUAGAUACCCUGGUA
rnacentral:rRNA from 1 species